rnacentral:rRNA from 1 species
CAGCCGCCGCGGGAAUACGGAGGGUGCGAGCGUUAUUCGGAAUUACUGGGCGUAAAGCGCACGCAGGCGGUUGCCCAAGUCAGAUGUGAAAGCCCCGGGCUUAACCUGGGAACUGCAUUUGAAACUGGGCGACUAGAGUAUGAAAGAGGAAAGCGGAAUUUCCAGUGUAGCAGUGAAAUGCGUAGAUAUUGGAAGGAACACCGAUGGCGAAGGCAGCUUUCUGGGUCGAUACUGACGCUCAUGUGCGAAAGCGUGGGGAGCAAACAGGAUUAGAUACCCCGGUAGUCCCUGUCUCUUAUAC